rnacentral:rRNA from 1 species
CAGCAGCCGCGGUAAUACGUAGGUGGCAAGCGUUGUCCGGAAUUAUUGGGCGUAAAGGGCGCGUAGGCGGACAGUUCAGUCGGGGGUGAAAGCCCGGGGCUCAACCUCGGAAUUGCCUUCGAUACGGGCUGUCUUGAGUAUGAGAGAGGUGUGUGGAACUCCGAGUGUAGAGGUGAAAUUCGUAGAUAUUCGGAAGAACACCAGUGGCGAAGGCGACACACUGGCUCAUUACUGACGCUGAGGCGCGAAAGCGUGGGGAGCAAACAGGAUUAGAUACCCCGGUAGUCCCUGUCUCUUAUAC